UACAGAGGUCCCAAGCGUUGUUCGGAUUCACUGGGCGUAAAGGGUGCGUAGGUGGUUAGGUAAGUCUGAUGUGAAAUCUCUGGGCUCAACCCAGAAACUGCAUUGGAUACUAUCUAGCUAGAGGAGUGGAGGGGGGACUGGAAUACUUGGUGUAGCAGUGAAAUGCGUAGAUAUCAAGUGGAACACCAGUGGCGAAGGCGAGUCCCUGGACACUUCCUGACACUGAGGCACGAAAGCUAGGGGAGCAAACGGG
rnacentral:rRNA from 1 species